GGCCAGGUGGUGGGGAAGCUUCUGAUGGUAGGGUAGUUUCUGACUGGCUGCCUGAAUCCUGAGUUUUUGGUUUUUUUUCUGGUAACUGACUUACCCGGACUUUCUUGGACUUGCCCAGUUCUUAGCGCUAGUCUCCUGAACUACCCAUUUGAAGCCUAUCAUGGAGUCAGCCUGUCUCAUAGAUCAAGGAAGAGUUACCAACAAAAGCAAGGCUUGCGGCUGAGUCAGAAUGGAGACUUCGGGAGCAUCACGUAACAGUGGCUGUGGAAGAAACACCCAUCUCCCUUUCCUUAUCCCAUCCAAAAGGGUCACAGUGGACACACGCAUAUCAAGAGGC
rnacentral:sRNA from 1 species